AUGCUAGAGUUAGUUGUAAUUUUUAUUGGAAAGUUCAAAGAGGAAUUGAUGGAUUUGUGUUUGGCUUUUCACAGGGACAAAAAAAGAGACAAAGAAAAGGUCAAAGAAAAAGAAAAGGCCAAAGAGAGAGACCGAGACAAAGAGAAGGAGAGAAACCGGAACAGAGACCAAGAAAGGGAAAGAGAGCGAGAUAAAGAGAGAAACAGGGAUAAGGACAAGGAGAGGGACUGGGAGAGAGAGAAAGAGCGAAACAAGGAUCGAGGGAGAGUUAGGGACAAGGAUAAGGAUAAAUAUAGGGACUGGGAAAAGGCCAAAGAUAAUGAGAAGGAAAAAGACAGGGAAGAGGUAGACCAGAACAAGGAAAAAUAUGAUGUUGAGAAAGAGGGGGAGAAAGACAGAGAGAAGAUUAAGGACAAAGAGGGAGAUAAGGGCAGAGGGGACAAAGAGAAGGACAGAGACAAAGAAAAGGAAAAAGAUGAGGAUAAGGAGAAGAAGGAGCAAGAAAGUGAAAAAGAGAGAGAUGAUAAAAACAAGAAAGAGAAGAGAUCCAGAACACCCCCAAGAAGCUAUAGCUCUUCAAGAAGAUCUCGUAGCUCCAGCAGAGAAAGGUGUAAAAGGAAGAGUAGAAGUCCCUCCAAGUCUCCUAAAAGAACAAAAAGAAAGUCUUCACAAACUCCUUCUCCAAGAAGAAACAAGAAAGAAAAGAAAAGAGAAAAGGAUACAAAUAAUGAAAGAAGAGAAGGGGAACACUCUACCUCCAAGAAAAAAAGUAGUAAAGAAAAAGAGGGAAAGGAGAAAUCUGACAAAAGCACCACUACUUUCAAGGACAAACAUCACACUAAAGAAGAUCUGAAUUCAGAAACUGACAAGGAAGUAGGCAAUAGAGAUACGCAAGAGACAGAUGAAGUCAAACUACAACAGAAUGGGAACUGUCAGCCAAAUGAUGAAAACCUCUCAAUUAAAAUGGAAGAGGUUUAAAGCAAAGAAUGGACCUAUGACUCAAUUAAGGAAUGAUAUCCAAAGCUUUUUAUUUCUCAGAACAAGGAAGAAAAUGUCAAAGCAAUCAGCCUGAAUAUGGUGAUAGUACUAGUAGCUCUUCCAAUUCUUGUGAUAGCUUUCUUGAUUUCUUGCUGUAAAGCAAGAGAGCACAGACCAGUAGUUAUACCAUGAAAAGUCAGAUGCCAUCAGAACUAUUAAUCUCUGAAAAUCCAUGCAUUUCCAUGAUGGCUGUACUAAUUUUUAAAAUGAUUUAUGUUAAGUUUUGCCAUAAGCUGUUACAAAUACAUAGAAACUAAAAGAUGUAAACCUGUACUAUCCAAAAAAAAGCUGAAGAUAUGCAUUUAAGGUUGUUUAAAAUACUGCUUGUUGAUGAAUUUUGUAUUGCUUUACUUUAUGGGUUAAAAAACUCACAAAAACUUCAGUGUGUACUGUUUGAUAUGCUUGGAAAAGGUGCAUAAAUAUACUCUUUAUUUUGUUAUAAAUUAAAACUACAGAAAAAUGUUUUUUAAACAUAAAUGCAGUUUUAUGGAUCUUAUUUUAAAUGCCCGAUGACUAGUUUUUUUUUCAUUUGUUCACUGAUUGAGAUUCUUGGGUUUUAUUUAAGACAAUUUCUCACUAAUAUCCCUAAAAAUAAUAUUUCUUUUAAAGUAUUUGAACAAUGCAUGUUACUUUUCUGUUCCAAAAAGGAACAUUGCCGUGUUAUAGAUAAUAGGUUAGCUUACUGGGUUAUUUUGGAGUUGGUUUGUUGUUUAUUUUUGUCUUUAUAGAAGUGAGCACAUCUGCAUGAUAUUAUUACAACCUACAGCUUUGUUUUGAGCCGUACUGUGUAUGUUCAGCUGUAAAUAGUACAGGUGCCAUUAUGAAAAUAAUUUUUUCUUAUUUGUUUAAAAAAAAUAUGGGAGCGCAAGCAGAAGCUUUAGUGCCUUCUUAAAAUAAUGUGGUACCUUCUAGAAAUGUAUAUGUGCUAUUACUCAUUUUCAGUUAAAUCUUAUAUGAUCUCUAUUGCCAUUUUGCCACCACCAUGCUGUAGACAAGAAUGCAAGUGAUUUGUCAGAAUGAUUGAUUCACUUGUUAAAAUACUAAAACUCCAUUUUUACUUCUGUUUUUUAUUUUUAGAAGAUAUUUAUAGGUGAAAGCAAAGGUGCAUUUUGGGGACAACCACUGUACAAAAGUAGUAGCUGGAUACAAAGCAUUUUCUGAUCACCUGCAUCAAAGACAGCCCUUUAGAAAUUUAAUCUACAUUUGGGUGGCCUUAAUUGUUACCUCUCCAUCAUAAUCUCUAAUACUUGUUGAGUGAUAUAAAAGGAAUCAUAUGCAAAGUUGAGGGGAUAAAUAAUUUGGGCAAAAAAAUCUAAUUUACAUAAGAGUUAUAUGGUAGAGAUUCUUUUUUCAUUCUUUAAAGAGAAAGCAUGUAAGAAGAGAAUGACAAAGCAAAUACUUUUGUCAAGGUAAAACAUGGCUUGUGCUCUCUGAACUAAUUUAAUCAGUUUCAUCAUUGUAAGAUUUCUUAAGAGUCAUACCUUUAAAAUUUAUACCUAAAAUCAAGUAGAUUAUUUUUAAUACAACUUAAUACAAUCAACUGACUUCAUUGCCUUACCUCAUGGGAAGUGUUAUUUCUUUCAGUUAAAAAAAAUCUUAAUAGCAUAUCAGCUAUUUGCAACACAGUUUGGCUGUGAAGCUGCUUAAUCACUCUUUUUUUUUUUUAAUAGGAUUUUAUGUUCUUGCUACUGUGUACGUUUAAGGCUAUAGAAAAUGCUUUACUAUGUAAAGUAUAGACAGUCAUUUCUGUGAUGUUUAAGCCACAUGUUGUUGACUGGUAAACAACUUAUUCUGAUAAGAAUGGCAAAUCUGUAUGCUUAUAGAAAGACUGUGAAGGAUUGUGUCUUACAACAACAGCUGUCUUAUGAUGUGUAAGUAGCACAGAGUAAAGAGAUUCUUUGUAUACUUGUUAUUUUUGGUACCAUUUCACUAAUAAAAUUUAAGUAUUUUAGAGGGAAGUUUCUGCUAUUACAUACUUUUAGUUGAUCUGGUCUUAUUCAGGCAGCUUCUUUGAUUUGAAAUGUGGAUACAAGUGAAAAUAUACAUGUGUUAUUUAGAAUAUCUUUGAAAAACUAAGUUUCUCCUUUGAGAGAAAUUAGAGUUCUUGCAGUGUAUCACGUUUCAGCUGAGAUGAGUUUGUUUUCUGGAGUUAUUUUAUCCUGUAAUUGAAUAGCUCUAUUAUAUAGUGGUUAAAGAAUAUGUAAAGGAUUGUGUACAGUUAGCUAAGAAACAUGCCUUAUGAAAAUUAAUAGUUAAGGAUGGUAGCCUUACUAGCUAACUUAUCACGUGUAAGUCAAUAUGCAGCACAUUGUUAUAUUGUAUGUGAAUUAAUGAUUCCCUUACAAAAAAAAAUUUAAAGGCAAACAAACAAACAAACAAAAGAAAAUGCACCAAGCACAUAAAUUUCCUCCCUACCCCACCCCAACUCAUAUUUUCUUACAAAUGCUGUAUUUUCUCAUUUUGCUUUGUAAAUACUGUGCAAAUCUCUAAAGUAUUUAAGUUAUAUCUAUUCAUAUUAGGUGUUUUAUGGUUCCCCUCUUCCUAAAAAGCCACCACUGGAGAACUAAUAUUCUGCAAAAUGCCUAUCUCUGCAGAGGGUAGCUCAUUUUGAAACCAGUAGCAUAGCACAAUAAUAAAGUUCCUGCUUGCUCCGCCAGGAUUAUGUGCAUCAUCUAUUAAAUGUGUACAUCUUCCACUGGAAGCCCAUUGCCUUCAUUGUUAAUAAGUUUGCAUACUGUGCUGCCAUGUCAGGUUGUUUGGUUUUGCACUGUAUAAAUGAGAUGAAAUUGAGUGGAGAUUUUGAGAACAGUGUAUGAUAGCUACAUUGUUUUAAAUGUAAUUUCAUUUGAAUCAGCCUUUAUUUGAAAAUGUGACCCAUAAUUGCUCAGAAAAGUGAUGAUAUGGUGCUAUUUUGCUAAGACCGUGUAAAGCACUUACGUGGAAGCUUCCAUUAGCAACCACAGUUAUUUCACGACAGUGUUUCUGGAAAGCAGAUAGGAUUUUUCUUUGGAUUUUAAAAUAAAAAGGUAGCAGAAGACAGCUGCUGGUGGAUGAAGCAGGAUUCCAAGCUCAAAAUAGAACUGGCUGUGACUUAGAUAAAUUCAUUUAAGUAAAUGGUAAACCCAGCUGUGAGGGAUGAAAUUUUUCUUGCAAACACUGUUAGUAUGGUGUGUGAAAAAUAAUAAAAAAAAACCAACAUAAAAAAACCCCAAACACCCUCUCCCCCCAAAAAUCCCCAAACAAACAAACCAAAACCAAACCAAAACUAAGAGGGGGAAAAAGCAUUUAAGCUGGAAACUAGAAACAUCUGAACAAUGCCUGAGAAAUUGGUGAGAUAUGGGUUCUGCCUGCUAAUUUUUUAAUUGAAAUUUCAGAUAGAUACAUCUGAACCACCUUUAAAUUAGAUGGCUAACAGUGGUAACCUACAUACAGCUUGGAUUCUGAAAUGAGCUGACUGUGGGACCAGAAUGUAUUUACUCUGCUGUUAAG
ensembl:lncRNA